CUCAAUGUCACAGCCAUGCUGAUAAUCGGGACUGACUUUGUUAUGGAAGGUGGUGUUGGAGUGAUUCAAUGCCACUUUUCUAUCCAUUACAAACAGAUGUCAGCACCCUGUUCCAAACCACACCACCAGCCCUGAAGAAUACUGAAACUUUGCUGAGGGGUGAGAAGUUUCUUCUUUCUCCUCUCCUCAUUUUCUUGCUUCACUUUCUGAGUUACAGCUGCACUUCCACUGCUAUCAAUACAAGGCCAAGAGUGAGUUUAAUUGUAUUAUAUACACUGCAGCAAGGACAGAGGGCAAGCUCUAGCAAACACAUGGUCACUAUGAGACAACACACUUAUUCCUAGGCAAAAAAUCAGAUGCCUUUGGGAGAGCUUAUUAGACAAGACGAAGAACAGAAAAAAAAAUAAGAAAUCCUUGACUAAUGAGGCAGGAUGGCAUUAGCCAGCCAGCCCUAUACAAGUCCCCGUGAUGGACCUAGAUGUGAUGGGCGAUGCUGUGAUGGACAUAGGAUAACAUCACACAUCACGUGGGAGGAUGCCUUCUCUGAAAGAGGAACAGUGACGUGGAAGGCAUCAGUUUUUGGGUAAAAUGGAAAGUUCUGUGAUGAAAUCUAGAUCCAGCUCUACCACCUUGAGGAUUCAAAUCUCCCCCCAGAUGCACCUCUUCUGGUUGUAAGUUGCUGAUUCCAUCUUCAUACUGCAUUUUCAUUGCAUUGGACAAAGAUCAGUAGAAUUCGGCUGAGUUCCAGAGAAGAGUCAAGAACAUGAGCUGACCCAUGGCUGUGUUCACCUGGAAUCAUCAUCUGUGUUCCAGUAAAUGCAGGAGCUGAAAGCAAGUUGCCUAC
ensembl:lncRNA